UUUUAUCAAAUUUAUUCAGUAGAAGAAUUGUCUGGUUGAAAUGACAUCAGCCUGAGCGAUGCUCGGGAUAGUCAGUAUGUACACACACGCACUGCCCGAGUGACACUUAGGGUAAACUGUGAAUUGGUUAAUGUCACUUUUACUACUAUUCAGUUAAUUGCUUGGAGCUGUUGAAAUUUAUGUAACCUGUUUCCAGUUAAAGUGAAAUUGCUGCAGCUAUAUGUACAUCAGAUUCACACGUCUAGUUAGUAUGAAGUCAAAGUGACUGUGGUAGAUAAAAUGUAUGCACAUAAAGACCUGGAUUUAGAGAGCCAGAUUAACCCACAGGAAGCUGCUUCAGCUCAACACCACCAGCGGCGUGUGAGAACUCUUUCUCCUGUUCUAACUUCUAAGACUCUCACAAAUUAGUACCUAACUAUUUUUUGUUGUUGUUGUCCUUUUUCUUUUGUUAUUGUUUAAUUAUAACUUUAGCAAUAAUGGGCUAAGGAAAAAAAUUAAUGGGCUAAGGGCCUUUUUUGAAAAAUAGGAAACCUGGAUUAAGAGGAUGAGGCAUGUACGAACUGAAACCAGAAUGUGCCAAGGAGUUCAACUUGUAUUUCUAUCGCUUCUCAAGGGCAGAGCAGUCCAAGGCAGAAGAAGCUCAAAGGAAAUUGAGAAGACAAAAUAAGAGAAGAUACAGCACUUCCACCUUGGUUUUGCCUCUUGUCUGCCAUCUCUUUGCAAGUCUGGUUAACAUUUUGCAGUCAGAUGUCACGUUGUGCAUCAUGGGAAUGAUACUGCAGUGGGCUGUAGAAUAUAAUGGAUAUGCCUGGUCAGAGUCUAUGCUGCAAAGGGUUAAAUUUUUCAGACCAACCAAAUCUGACCCAGUGGAUUAGAACAAUAUCUCAGCAGAUAAAAGCAUUACAGAGUCUUAGGAAAGAAGAAAAUGCUUCCAUUCCUGCCUCUUCAGAGAAUUCAAAGAACGUGGAAGAAGUACAGCUCCUUGAAGGUUUCAGGCCUGAUUUUCAUCCUCAGAACCCUUAUUCUGAGAGCAUUAAGGAAAUGCUGACAACAUUUGGAACUGCUACCUACAAGGUGGGACUAAAAGUUCACCCCAACGAAGAGGAUCCCCGUGUGCCCAUAAUGUGCUGGGGUAGCUGUGCGUACACCAUCCAGAGCAUAGAAAGAAUUCUGAGUGAUGAAGAUAAACCAUUGUUUGGUCCUUUGCCUUAUAGACUGGAUGACUGUCUUAGGUCACUGACAAGAUUUGCAGCAGCACAUUGGACGGUGGCAUCACUUCCAGUGCAUUGGUGCUAA
rnacentral:lncRNA from 1 species